rnacentral:rRNA from 1 species
CGAAUGGACUAGCCCCGAAAAUCGAUGGCGCUAAAGCGUGCGACCAAUACUCAACCAUUGUGGCGAGGGUGAGGCCAUAAUGAGUAGGAGGGCGUGAACGUUGUUAUGAAGCCUCUGGCGUGAGCCUUGGUGAAACAGCGUUUAGUGCAGAUCUUGGUGGUAGUAGCAAUUAUUCAAAUGAGAACUUUGAAGGCCGACGUGGAGAAGGUUUCCGUGAGAACAGCAAUUGGUCACGGGUGACUCGAUCCUAAGACAUGGGGGAAAUCCUUGUUAAGUGCACCGUAUGGUGCGUAGUCGAAAGGGAAUGAGGUUAAUAUUCCUCAAGCUGGAUGUGGGUGUUGUAUGGUAACAUAAAUGAGCUCAGAGACGCCAGUGUGAGCCUCUGGAAGAGUUAUCUUUUCUUUUUAACAGGCUAGUGACCUUGAAAUUGGAUUACCCAGAGAUAAGGUGGCAUGCCUGGAAGAGCACCUCGCUUUUUGAGGUGUCAGGUGCGCUCAUAAUGGCCCUUGAAAAUCUGAGUGAGAUAGCUUCACACCAGGUCGUACCCAUAACCGC